rnacentral:rRNA from 1 species
AUAGUUUGAUGCUGGCUCAGAAUGAACGCUGGCGGCGUGCUUAACACAUGCAAGUCGCACGAGAACGCUUCAGCUUGCUGAAGUUAGUAAAGUGGCGCACGGGUGAGUGACGCGUGGGUAAUCUACCCCCGAAUUGGGGAUAACAUUGCGAAAGCGAUGCUAAUACCGAAUGACAUCUUAAACACCCCGGUGAUUAAGAUCAAAGGUGGCCUCUACAUGUAAGCUACUGUUUGGGGAUGAGCCCGCGUACCAUUAGCUUGUUGGUAGGGUAACGGCCUACCAAGGCUGCGAUGGUUAGCUGGUCUGAGAGGAUGAUCAGCCACACUGGAACUGACACACGGUCCAGACUCCUACGGGAGGCAGCAGUGAGGAAUUUUGCGCAAUGGGGGAAACCCUGACGCAGCAACGCCGCGUGAGUGAUGAAGGCUUUCGGGUCGUAAAGCUCUGUCAAGUGGGAAGAAACCACCUGGUGCUAAUAUCACCAAGUGUUGACGGUACCACUGAAGGAAGCACCGGCUAACUCCGUGCCAGCAGCCGCGGUAAUACGGGGGGUGCAAGCGUUAUUCGGAAUUACUGGGCGUAAAGAGCGCGUAGGCGGUCUCUUAAGUCGGAUGUGAAAGCCCGGGGCUCAACCCCGGAAGUGCACUCGAAACUAAGGGACUUGAGUAUGGGAGAGGGAAGUGGAAUUCCUGGUGUAGCGGUGAAAUGCGUAGAUAUCAGGAGGAACACCGGUGGCGAAGGCGACUUCCUGGACCAAUACUGACGCUGAGGCGCGAAAGGCGUGGGGAGCAAAC